rnacentral:rRNA from 1 species
UACGAAGGGGGCUAGCGUUGCUCGGAAUUACUGGGCGUAAAGCGCACGUAGGCGGAUUGGUCAGUUAGGGGUGAAAUCCCAGGGCUCAACCCUGGAACUGCCUUUAAUACUGACGAUCUAGAGUCCGAGAGAGGUGAGUGGAAUUCCGAGUGUAGAGGUGAAAUUCGUAGAUAUUCGGAGGAACACCAGUGGCGAAGGCGGCUCACUGGCUCGGUACUGACGCUGAGGUGCGAAAGCGUGGGGAGCAAACAGG